GACAGAGGUGGCAAGCGUUGUUCGGAAUUACUGGGCUUAAAGGGCGCGUAGGCGGUGGAGUAAGUCUGAGGUGGAAGAUUAGGGCCUAACCCUAAAAUUGCCUUGGAAACUGCAUCACUUGAGUCAGCGAGGGGAUGGCGGAAUUCCAGGUGUAGCGGUGAAAUGCGUAGAUAUCUGGAGGAAGGCCGGUGGCGAAGGCGGCCAUCUGGCGCUGAACUGACGCUGAGGCGCGAAAGCGUGGGGAGCAAACAGG
rnacentral:rRNA from 1 species